rnacentral:rRNA from 1 species
UACAGAGGUCCCAAGCGUUGUUCGGAUUCACUGGGCGUAAAGGGUGCGUAGGUGGUCGGGUAAGUCCGAUGUGAAAUCUCCAGGCUCAACCUGGAAAUGGCAUUGGAUACUAUUCGGCUUGAGGAGUGGGAGGGGGGACUGGAAUUCUCGGUGUAGCAGUGAAAUGCGUAGAUAUCGAGAGGAACACCAGUGGCGAAGGCGAGUCCCUGGACACUUCCUGACACUGAGGCACGAAAGCUAGGGGGAGCAAACAGG